CAUAGAUGUGGGUGAAACGUCAGGAGAGCAUGCUUCUGGAACAUGGCUAUACAGCCCAGAAAACUCACAGCAACCUCAGUGAUUCCGGCCAUGAAAGCUUUCGGCAACACUCCUGGAGCAGCUUAGAAAAAACAAUAGGCCAGCCUUUGCUCAAAAGCAUCCAAGCUCAAAGGCACAGUCCAAAAAACACGAGAAAAGAGGAGGAAAUUGGGGAGCUGGGACACUAAUUCUUAGGCACACAUCUCUUAUAAGAACCUAUCUCUUGCUGAUUUGCACAAGGGAGUGCUCGUUUGAGAACGACAUAAAGCAGUUGCUGGAAACAUUUUACAAUAGGAGAUUUCAAACAGAGGCUGCAUAAAAUUAUUGAAUAAUUGCACAUAACACAAAGAACAAUGUGUUAAGAAGAUACUGUUGGGGAGUUGCUACCUCCUGACUUAGCAGGUUGGGAUGGAAGUCAAAAAAGCUGGAAGAGUGCAAAUGAAGAUGCAGGUCUGUUCAUUCUGUCGGGGAAUAUUUGUGCAAGAGAGAAUCCAGCAGAGUAGGUGGUCAGGGGCCAUCUAGUAGGGGAACUCAACUGGCUGUUUAUUGAUGCAUAUGUGGUGAGAAAUUAUCCAGAGAUAUAGAAAGGAGAGGAUGCAGUGAAGGAGAGAAGAGAAUUUCAGCCCACCUCCAAAACAGGGAAAUUGUCAGACUCUGAAAGAUCUUGGAGUUAAAAUCAAGCUUACAACAAUAAAAAGCUGGAGACAAGAGGUUUAUUCCUUCUUUUCGCAAUUCUAAAAAGACAGUUCAAUCCUAAAAAGACAGUUGUAAAGGCAUGUCAAUCCUAAAAAGACAGUUCUAAAGACAGGUCAAUCCUAAAAAGACUGUCCUAGAGACAGUUCAAUCCUAAAAAGACAGUUCUAAGGACAGUUCAAUCCUAAAAAGACAGUUCUAAAGACAGUUCAAUCCUAAAAAGACAGUUCUAAAGACAGGUCAAUCCAAAAAAGACAGUUCUAAAGACAGGUCAAUCCAAAAAAGACAGUUCUAAAGACAGGUCAAUCCGAAAAAGAGUUCUAAAGACAGUUCAAUCCGAAAAAGACAGUUCUAAAGACAGUUAAAUCCGAAAAAGACAGUUCUAAAGACAGUUAAAUCCGAAAAAGACAGUUCUAAAGGCAGGUCAAUCCUAAAAAGACAGUUCUAAAGACAGGUCAAUCCUAAAAAGACUGUCCUAGAGACAGUUCAAUCCUAAAAAGACAGUUCUAAAGACAGGUCAAUCCAAAAAAGACAGUUCUAAAGACAGGUCAAUCCUAAAAAGAGUUCUAAAGACAGUUCAAUCCGAAAAAGACAGUUCUAAAGGCAGGUCAAUCCAAAAAAGACAGUUCUAAAGACAGGUCAAUCCUAAAAAGACUGUCCUAGAGACAGUUCAAUCCUAAAAAGACAGUUCUAAAGGCAGGUCAAUCCUAAAAAGACAGUUCUAAAGACAGUUCAAUCCUAAAAAGACAGUUCUAAGGACAGUUCAAUCCUAAAAAGACAGUUCUAAAGACAGGUCAAUCCAAAAAAGACAGUUCUAAAGACAGGUCAAUCCGA